rnacentral:rRNA from 1 species
GCGGGUCGUUGACUACGAGGGCGGCGACGUCGGCGGCGGAGAGGCCGAGGCCGGCGAGGAAGGCGAGGACGGCGUCGGGCUUGGAAGGGGACUUGAGGUGGGAGAGCUUGGCCGAGGCCUUGAGGGCCUGGGGUCGGGUGAGGCCGCAGGUGGAGACGAGGUAGUCCUCCACCGCGAAGCUAGGGUUCGGGGAGACGGCGGGCGCGGCGGCGGAGAUGAGGCGGCUGAGGUGGGAGAUGGGAGAGGCGGGGGAAGACGAGAGGAUCUGGGAGAGGAGGCUGCGACGGAGCCGGAGCAUGGCGCCGCGGCGGCGCGGUGGCGCCGGCGGCGAGGGAAUGGGGAACGACGGCCGGGGGCGAAUGCGAGAGCCAGAGGAUUUGCGUGGUCUCUUCUUUUUUC